CACAUGGUUAUGGUGGAUUUCUAAGAAGG
rnacentral:piRNA from 1 species